rnacentral:rRNA from 1 species
AGUGAACGCUGGCGGCGUGCUUAACACAUGCAAGUCGAACGAGAACGGAUUAUAGCUUGCUAUAAUUGUCAGCUAAGUGGCGCACGGGUGAGUAAUGUAUAGGUAAUAUGCCUCUUACUAAGGGAUAACAAAUGGAAACGUUUGCUAAUACCUUAUACUCCUUAUUAACAGAAGUUAUUAAGGGAAAGAUUUAUUGGUAAGAGAUUAGCCUGUAUUGUAUCAGUUAGUUGGUGGGGUAACGGCUUACCAAGACUAUGACACAUAACUGGUUUGAGAGGAUGAUCAGUCACACUGGAACUGAGACACGGUCCAGACUCCUGCGGGAGGCAGCAGUGGGGAAUAUUGCACAAUGGACGAAAGUCUGAUGCAGCAACGCCGCGUGGAGGAUGACACAUUUCGGUGCGUAAACUCCUUUUAUAUGAGAAGAUAAUGACGGUAUUAUAUGAAUAAGCACCGGCUAACUCCGUGCCAGCAGCCGCCGUAA